rnacentral:lncRNA from 1 species
GGAAUAUAAAUGAUAACUGGAUGGCAUUUUACAGAAUCCUUGGGUGUCCCAGUUAUUUAGAACAGUGAGUCCUACACUGAAAACAAUAGGAAAACACUCUUAUAAGCCAUACCUUCAUUUUGCCAAUUAAAUUUUAUUAUUAAAUAAUUUUUUCCUAUGUUUUCUAAAAGAGAUAAGACUGAAUGAAACAAUCAUCCUAAAGAGAAAAGCUAGAAUUGUGUAGUGGCAUCAGGCUUACUAGUAACUCUAAAUACUACUAUGUCGUGGCGAUUAUUUAAGUUCCUUAUAGCUGCCAGAUAUUAGAUUUUUGUCAGACUUACAGUUGGCAAAUAUUUUCUCCCAUUCUGUAGGUUGUCUGUUUACUUUGUUGGUAGCUUCUUUUGCUGUGCAGAAGCUAUUGUUUUAUUAGAUUCCACUUCUCAAUUUUUGCUUUUGUUGAGAGAUAACAGAUCCUUAUAAUACUAAUUCUCCAAAGAGAGACAGUACAAAUGUCAAUGCAUUUAGAAAUCUCUCCUUUAACGGGUGUAAUAUAAUUUAGUGAUUAAGAUUGUAAGAAUAAUGCUCUGAGGAUUGAAAUAAUUGGAGAUAGGAGGAAAACAGAAAAGUGGAGGAGAUAGAAGGUUGAAGGGAAAUGUAAGAAGAGAGAGAUUGCCUUGACAUUGCUAAACUUUGGGAGCGUUUUUCUGACCUACCUGUUCUGUUCCAGGGUGUGCAGUAGUGACACUGGGAAACUGAUCAUUUUGAUUUCUGCUUUCUAGUAGAAUCAGCUCCAAGACAAAAGUAUAUAUACAUUUUCUUCCCUUUUUAAAUAAUUUAUUUAAUUUAUUUAUUUAUUUAUUUAUUUAUUUAUUUUACUUUUGACAUAUUUGUGUUACUUGUAUAUACUAUAUUAAACAGAAUCUAUCAGUCUGAUAGAACAUUAAAAGAUAUUUCUUUUAAAGGUGGAUAUAAAGGUGCAACUAAAUGCCAAUUUAGGGAUGGUACUUUUCAGAGUUGGGGCUCUGUGCUUUAACAUGUUAUACUUUGAACCAAUGGACAUUGUGGCAGACAAAGAAAUAAGUUAUUAUACUGGCAGUUGUAAUUGACCUUCAUUAUCCCCACCCCACCAAGCCGCCCUUGGCCCUGCCCUCAGGAGCCUCUGCUUGGCCUUGCUAAUUCCUCUCUUCUCCCUGAAGCUAGAGUGAGGUCCCUCUUGGCAGCCUUUGUAUCUAGAGAGAGCCGUCCAAUAGAAACAUAAGGUGAGCAACAUGCUUAAUUUUAAAAUUUCUAGUAGCUACAUUAAACAUUUUUAAGUGAAAUUAACUUUAAUAAUAAAUUUAUUUAACCCAAUAUAUCCAAAAGAUUAUCAUUUCAACAUGCAAUCCUAUUUUAAAAAUAACUAGUGAGGUACCUGACAAAAAAAAAAUCCCUUUUCAUACUAAGUCCAGAAGAUCUUUGUGUAUUUUAUACUCAUAGGACAUCUGAGUUUGGAUGUUACCUUUUUAUUGGAAAUAUGGGAUCUGCACUUAGAUUUCACUGAAUUUACAUUGAAAAGGUAGGUUCACAUACCCAAGUUGUCUCACACAUACCUAAAUGUUUUCUGGUAACUGGGUGGAGUAUCAGUUUUUAUAUUUAUCUUUGCCUUAGCUAAAAAACAAAUUAAUAGUGCAGGUCCUCAGCCGCACGCAGGCAGUUUUCUCCACGGUCCAAAUGGUUGCCCGAAUUCACCCAGACCCCGCUGUCGUCCGCUUUUUCAUGCAGACAUUCAAACAACUAGCCUCCCUUCCUCCUGGCACCCCCACCCCAUCGCCAGCACCCUCCAAACCAGUUUCCCUCCUGUCCUCAUCUCAGCCACCCAUGACUCACACACACAUCUGGCUCCCCUGGCCCACUUUUCACCUGGUCCUCAUAAUCUAUGCAUAAACAUUAACAUACCACAGAAUCAAUCUGCAUACUGAUUACUUCUGCUCUGGUCAAAUUCUUGCUUUCAGGAUCAGGAGGCUUUCUCCCCACACCAAACUGGGCCUGAGGAAAUAGUGUCUUGUCUUCCUGUCACCCCUCCCGUAGUUGCAUGUCUAAUGAGACAAGGGGUGUCUCAGGUGAAGCAGGACAGGGAGGAUGCCAGCACUUGGGUGGGAGAGGCUUGAGGAGUGCCUGUUGGGGGAUGUGUUGGGGAAGGAUGACUUUUCACAUAUGGCUCAUUGUGUCGGGAUGAUUUCGUUGUUAAAUAAGCACCUACAGGAUGAUUUCACAUUCCAUACUUCUAAGUUUUUAUAAUUUAAAUUCUUUCCGCCAGGCUGGGUUUUUUUUUUUUUCCAAACUUUAAAUCUGUGGCUAGAAUUGGUUUGAUUUACAUAAUCCUGCCCCUGAGAUUUAGCCCCACCCCUGAGAGCC